rnacentral:rRNA from 1 species
AUUGAACGCUGGCGGCAUGCCUUACACAUGCAAGUCGAACGGUAACAGGGAGCUUGCUCCGCUGACGAGUGGCGAACGGGUGAGUAAUGUAUCGGAACGUACCAUUCAGUGGGGGAUAACGUAGCGAAAGUUACGCUAAUACCGCAUAUUCUGUGCGCAGGAAAGCAGGGGCUCGCAAGACCUUGCGCUGAUUGAGCGGCCGAUAUCAGAUUAGCUAGUUGGUGAGGUAAAAGCUCACCAAGGCGACGAUCUGUAGCGGGUCUGAGAGGAUGAUCCGCCACACUGGAACUGAGACACGGUCCAGACUCCUACGGGAGGCAGCAGUGGGGAAUUUUGGACAAUGGGGGCGAACCCUGAUCCAGCCAUUCCGCGUGCAGGAUGAAGGCCCUCGGGUUGUAAACUGCUUUUGUACGGAACGAAAAGGUCUCUCUUAAUACGGGGGGCUCAUGACGGUACCGUAAGAAUAAGCACCGGCUAACUACGUGCCAG